AAAAAACAAUGGAAAAGAAUAAAGUAAAACAGAGAUAAUUUGAUCUUUUAUCAAGAAUGGGAGCUUGGAACUUCCCCUGGGGGUUGUUACUCUCUUGCUGGAGACCAUUACACAGGAACAUGAAAGUCUCCCCAUAGGGAAUUAUUUUGGAGACUUUUGCAGGCUUUUGACUUGCAUUUUGGAUGGACAGUUGGGCCCAUACAUCCCUCCAGUAAAGAGCCAAGUUUGCAGGCUUUUGACUUGCAUUAUACCUCUGAUGAGCAAUCUGGCCCCUCGCUCCCUCCAGUGCUGAAGGUGUGAAGCCCUGAAAAGGCAAGAGCCAAGCUUGCAGGCUUUUGACUGUUGCAUUGUACCUCUGAUGGGCAAUUGAAGGUGUCAGGCCCUGAAGGGGCAGGACCUCUGAUGGCCCAUAGGAACCCAUCCCCCCCUCUGCCAGUGGGGAAAAGGGUGGGAACCAGGCCAGACACAGGAACUCUUGCGCAGGGCCCAGGGAGAGGUUGGAGGCUCGAGGCAUGGCCCGUGACACUGACCAUGGAUAUAAUAACUCAUAACUUCUUGGAGUGUGGGGGCUUCUCUCCUUCUC